UGGCUCAGAUUGAACGCUUGGCGGCAGGCUACCAUGCAAGUCGAGCGGAUGAGAGGAGCUUGCUCCUCGAUUCAGCGGCGGACGGGUGAGUAAUGCCUAGGAAUCUGCCUAGUAGUGGGGGACAACGUUUCGAAAGGAACGCUAAUACCGCAUACGUCCUACGGGAGAAAGUGGGGGAUCUUCGGACCUCACGCUAUUAGAUGAGCCUAGGUCGGAUUAGCUAGUUGGUAGGGUAAAGGCCUACCAAGGCGACGAUCCGUAACUGGUCUGAGAGGAUGAUCAGUCACACUGGAACUGAGACACGGUCCAGACUCCUACGGGAGGCAGCAGUGGGGAAUAUUGGACAAUGGGCGAAAGCCUGAUCCAGCCAUGCCGCGUGUGUGAAGAAGGCCUUCGGGUCGUAAAGCACUUUAAGUUGGGAGGAAGGGCUCAUAGCGAAUACCUGUGAGUUUUGACGUUACCAACAGAAUAAGCACCGGCUAACUUCGUGCCAGCAGCCGCGGUAAUACGAAGGGUGCAAGCGUUAAUCGGAAUUACUGGGCGUAAAGCGCGCGUAGGUGGCUUGAUAAGUUGGAUGUGAAAUCCCCGGGCUCAACCUGGGAACUGCAUCCAAAACUGUCUGGCUAGAGUGCGGUAGAGGGUAGUGGAAUUUCCAGUGUAGCGUGAAAUGCGUAG
rnacentral:rRNA from 1 species